ensembl:lncRNA
CUGGAGAGGGUGUGUGGGGUUAGCUUAGCUAUAAUUAGCUUGAGAGGGUGUGUGUGUGUAUAUAAGGGGUUAGUUAUAAUUAGCUGGAGAGGGUGUGUGUGUAUAUAAGGAGAUAGUUAUGAUUAGCUGGAGAGGGUGUGUGGGUAUAUAAGGGGUUAUUUAUAAUUAGCUGGAGAGGGUGUGUGUGUAUAUAAGGGGUUAGCUUAGCUAUAAUUAGCUUGAGAGGGUGUGUGUGUAUAUAAGGGGUUAGCUUAGCUAUAAUUAGCUGGAGAGGGUGUGUGUGUAUAUAAGGGGUUAGAGAUAGUUAUAAUUAGCUGGAGAGGGUGUGUGUGUAUAUAAGGGGUUAGAGUUAGCUAUAAUUAGCUUGAGAGGGUGUGUGUGUAUAUAAGGGGUUAGAGAUAGUUAUAAUUAGCUGGAGAGGGUGUGUGUGUGUAUAUAAGGGGUUAGCUUAGCUAUAAUUAGCUUGAGAGGGUGUGUGUGUAUAUAAGGGGUUAGAGUUAGUUAUAAUUAGCUUGAGAGGGUGUGUGUGUAUAUAAGGGGUUAGAGUUAGCUAUAAUUAGCUUGAGAGGGUGUGUGUGUAUAUAAGGGGUUAGAGAUAGUUAUAAUUAGCUGGAGAGGGUGUGUGUGUAUAUAAGGGGUUAUUUAUAAUUAGCUGGAGAGGGUGUGUGUGUAUAUAAGGGGUUAUUUAUAAUUAGCUUGAGAGGUGUGUGUAUAUAAGGGGUAAGAGUUAGUUAUAAUUAGCUGGAGAGGGUGUGUGUGUAUAUAAGGGGUAAGAGUUAGUUAUAAUUAGCUGGAGAGGGUGUGUGUGUAUAUAAGGGGUUAGAGUUAGCUAUAAUUAGCUUGAGAGGGUGUGUGUGUAUAUAAGGGGUUAGCUUAGCUAUAAUUAGCUUGAGAGGGUGUGUGUGUAUGUAAGGGGUUAGAGAUAGUUAUAAUUAGCUGGAGAGGGUGUGUGUGUAUAUAAGGGGUUAGAGUUAGCUAUAAUUAGCUUGAGAGGGUGUGUGUGUAUAUAAGGGGUUAGAGAUAGUUAUAAUUAGCUGGAGAGGGUGUGUGUGUAUAUAAGGGGUUAGCUUAGCUAUAAUUAGCUUGAGAGGGUGUGUGUGUAUAUAAGGGGUUAGAGUUAGUUAUAAUUAGCUUGAGAGGGUGUGUGUGUAUAUAAGGGGUUAGAGUUAGCUAUAAUUAGCUUGAGAGGGUGUGUGUGUAUAUAAGGGGUUAGAGAUAGUUAUAAUUAGCUGGAGAGGGUGUGUGGGUAUAUAAGGGGUUAGA